rnacentral:rRNA from 1 species
AACGAACGCUGGCGGCAUGCCUAACACAUGCAAGUCGAACGAAGGCUUCGGCCUUAGUGGCGCACGGGUGCGUAACGCGUGGGAAUCUGCCCUUGGGUUCGGAAUAACAGUUGGAAACGACUGCUAAUACCGGAUGAUGACUUCGGUCCAAAGAUUUAUCGCCCAGGGAUGAGCCCGCGUAGGAUUAGCUUGUUGGUGAGGUAAAGGCUCACGAAGGCGACGAUCCUUAGCUGGUCUGAGAGGAUGAUCAGCCACACUGGGACUGAGACACGGCCCAGACUCCUACGGGAGGCAGCAGUGGGGAAUAUUGGACAAUGGGCGAAAGCCUGAUCCAGCAAUGCCGCGUGAGUGAUGAAGGCCUUAGGGUUGUAAAGCUCUUUUACCCGGGAAGAUAAUGACUGUACCGGGAGAAUAAGCCCCGGCUAACUCCGUGCCAGCCGCCGCUGUAAAAC